UACGAAGGGGGCUAGCGUUGCUCGGAAUCACUGGGCGUAAAGGGUGCGUAGGCGGGUCUUUAAGUCAGGGGUGAAAUCCUGGAGCUCAACUCCAGAACUGCCUUUGAUACUGAAGAUCUUGAGUUCGGGAGAGGUGAGUGGAACUGCGAGUGUAGAGGUGAAAUUCGUAGAUAUUCGCAAGAACACCAGUGGCGAAGGCGACUCACUGGCCCGAUACUGACGCUGAGGUGCGAAAGCGUGGGGAGCAAACAGG
rnacentral:rRNA from 1 species